rnacentral:lncRNA from 1 species
CAUCUAUCAUCCCACUCAUUCAUUCAUCCAACCACACACCUUUUAAUUUAUUCAACCACCUAUUCUUCUAUUCAUCUUCCCAUACAACUUCUCAUCCAUCAUUCCACACUUCCUUUUUCACAUCUCUUCAUAAAACCACAACCAUCCACCAUCCUCUUCUCCACCCAUCCACCCACAUAUCUGUUUAUUGAUAUAUCCACUCAUUUCCCAUCUGUCCAAGAUCAACAUAUCCACCUAUCAUUUUAUCCAUUCUCUCAUCCACCCAUACGUUCAUCUAUUAUUUUUGCCCCCAUUAUCCUCCUUUCUGUGUAAACAUUAAUUCAUUUUCUCCCAUCUUUCCUACCCAGCAGAUCUUAAAGAGAGGAAGAGUUUGUAAUAUUCUUCAGGGGAAGCCUUUUGAGAUUGAAAUAUCAUACUUUGAAUGAUAACUCUAUAUCUAUCUAUAAUAUACUAUGGUUUAAUGUUUGGAAAUCAAACGCAGUAUUUAUUUGUCAUGUGAACUACUAAAAGUAAAUCUGCAUGGACUUCUUGCCUGGUGAGUUACACAGAAAAUGAAAGUGAUUAUCAGUGGCUGUGGCAAGAUGAAAGGAACCAUGCCAGGACUUCUGAGGGAAGGAAGAGUGUUUGGGACUGAAAAAUCCUUGUCUGGAUCUAGUCCUCAGCCACUCAGAAGCUGGCAUGCCAUGACUCAAAGAGCCGCCCGUCUGGAAUGAAGACAGUGACCCGUAACUCCCACCUGAAGAGCAGGUGCUUGGAAAAUGCUGCCAGUCCGCAGGAAAAAGUUGUUACUGCUGCUGUCUGUGACCAAGAGGACACUUUAUUUCUUGAAACAACUGGGGGCAAACUGGCUCCCAGAUAAGGCUUCAGUCCCUACUCAUGUGAGGAAACCAGCCCUGGUAGGUUCCAUGCACAAGAAUACAGGACAAGGAGCAGCUUUUUUCACCUCAUGCAACCUCCAGGGAUUUCAGCUUCCUUUUCUUGGAGCAAGAAAGUGAAGUGACGUGGGGA